rnacentral:rRNA from 1 species
GCUUUCUUUGCUGGCGACCGGCGCACGGGUGAGUAACACGUAUCCAACCUGCCCUUUACUCGGGGAUAGCCUUUCGAAAGAAAGAUUAAUACCCGAUAGUAUAAUGAUUCCGCACGGUUUCAUUAUUAAAGGAUUCCGGUAAAGGAUGGGGAUGCGUUCCAUUAGGUUGUUGGUGAGGUAACGGCUCACCAAGCCUUCGAUGGAUAGGGGUUCUGAGAGGAAGGUCCCCCACAUUGGAACUGAGACACGGUCCAA